AUUGAACGCUGGCGGCAGGCCUAACACAUGCAAGUCGAACGCGUGGCGGACUGGUGAGCAAUGUCUGGGAAACUGCCCGAUGGAGGGGGAUAACUACGGGAAACGGUAGCUAAUACCGCAUACGAUGGGAUCUGCCCACAUGGGUUUAGCUAGCGGGUGGGGUAACGGCUCACCUAGGCGACGAUCCAUAGCUGGGCUGAGAGGAUGACCAGCCACACUGGGACGGAGACACGGUCCAGACACCUACGGGAGGCAGCAGUAGGGAAUAUUGCGCAAUGGGCGAAAGUCUGAUACAGCAAUGCCGCGUGGAUGAAGAAGGUGUUCGGGUUGUAAAGUACUUUCAGCGAGGAGGCGUUACUCGCCGAGGAAGCAACGGCUAACUCCGUGCCAGCAGCCGCGGUAAUAC
rnacentral:rRNA from 1 species